GGGCUCCUAGCUCAGUGGUUUAGAGCGUCAGCCUUAACACAGGCAGAAGGUCCUAGGUUCGAAUCCUAGGGAGUCCA